AGCUUCGUAGAUCAGCGGGAGAUCGCCGGGCUCAUAUCGUUGCGAAUGCGUGAAAUACAACCCGGAGGGCGUGCGAUCGAAACGCACCGAUGCUA
rnacentral:tRNA from 1 species